CCGACUCCAUGGCAUCCCACAGGACAUCCUCUCUGACCGAGGUCCUCAGUUCAUCUCCCAGGUUUGGAAAAGUUUCUGUUCGGCUCUCAAUGCAUCUGUCUCACUUUCUUCCGGCUUUCACCCCCAGACCAACGGUCAGACCGAACGGCUCAACCAGGACUUGGAAACCACCCUCCGCUGCUUUACCUCCACCAACCCCUCCGAUUGGGCCCAAUUCCUUCCUUGGGUGGAGUACGCUCACAACAGCCACAUCUCAGCAGCUACCGGUAUGUCCCCGUUCGAGGCUUCCAUUGGUUAUCAACCCCCUCUUCUUUCAUCAGAGGAAAAGGAUAUUUCAGUCACCUCCGUCCGUCAUCACAUCCGCCGUUGUCAGAAAGUUUGGAACACCAUUAUCCGUAACCUCAACCAAACUGCAGACAGAAAUAAGCGCCUGGCUGACCGUAAGAGGAGACCAGCACCCAUAUACAGCCCAGGUCAACAGGUUUGGCUUUCUUCACGUGACAUUCCGCUCAAAUCCAUUUCCAAGAAACUCUCUCCCCGAUACAUUGGUCCGUUCCCCAUUGAAUCCAUAAUCAACCCGUCUGCUGUCCGUCUCCGUCUGCCCGCCUCCCUCCGCGUCCACCCCACCUUCCACGUGUCCCAGAUUAAACCUGUCCAGACCAGCAUGCUCUGCCCUCCAGCCGAACCCCCUCCACCCCCCCGUGACAUUGAUGGUCAUCCUGCAUACACCGUCCGCCGGAUCGUGGACUCCCGUCGGCGAGGUCGCGGCUGGCAGUACCUCGUCGAUUGGGAGGGUUACGGUCCGGAGGAACGAUCCUGGAUCUCGGGUUCUUCCAUCUUAGACCCUUCCCUUAUCUCUGACUAUCGUUCCUCGUUGCCUUCCAGUUCAUCUAGGCCGCCAGGUGGCGACCGUUGAAGGGGGGGUACUGUUAUGUUCCGGGAUUCUGGCUGCUUGGUGGGAAUUCCUGUGCGCCCUUACCACCAUUUACCACCAGAGGGCGACAGGUUCCGGUGGGAGUGCGGUGCAUCAUCAUCCACAGCUGUUCGCGAUCAUCUUCAUCAGCGGCUCAGAUUUAAGGAGUUGGCUGCCAGCCCAGCGUCGCCUGAGUGUUAGCCAGUCAUGGCGAUCCCUUGAGGAGAUCCUAGUUGAUUUCCUGGUUUUUGAACCACCCUCGUGACGCCGUGGAAAGAACCCACAGGUUGCCCGAGUUUCCAGACUCACCUCUCCGUUGUUUGCAAUCAUCUCCUGGACUCCACGGCUGGCGGCCGCACCACUCCUCCGUUUCUCCACUGCACCCGAGCCUGCCUGUCCGCUCCCCGCCGCACUCCUCUGUUGUUUCUGGACCCACCAAGGACUGAGACACCGGACAAACAUUGUUUCCCCUCCAAGACUCCGUUCAUCUACUUCAAAUGAAUCAUUGUUGCUGCCACUGUCGUUUCCCCCUGGACCAGACCAUCCUGAUUCUCGCCGAUAAUUGUGUGAUCAUUAUUAAAUCAUUUAACACUGA